rnacentral:lncRNA from 1 species
GAGGAUAGUGGCGAAAUGUAAAGUACUGCAUAAUCGCGAAGAAAGGUGAGAAAAUUCGCGAGGAAGAGGGAUCGCAAAAUCAGCAGCAAGACGCCGAGAAAGAGAAGGAUUGCGAAAGGACAGCCGAAGCGGCGGAUUCGUGAACAUCAAACGAAUUAAAUCUCCGCGGCGAGUCGACCGCAGAAACUAAUAUCUCGGCGAGCUCUCUCGUUUCUUCCGUUCCUCGUCACUUCUACGUAGCCGUUUCAGCCUCCGCUUCUCUUUCCUCGACCACCGCGCCGCCCGCCAUCGUAUUUCUGGAUUCCGCUUCGAAAGAGAUUCGUGCCUGCGCCUGCGAGACAAAGUGGACGAUGACAAAAUUAUCGUCCACUUUUCCCGGUUGAAAACGCGUUUCUCAAAAAGAAAGAAAACCGGGGCCUGUAAACGUUUCGUUCGAACGAUGAGAGCAAAAUGAAAAAGAGGAUUGAGCAAAUGGGAAACGACAAGCACGACACAAGAAGCGAGCUCAUAAACCGAGGCAAAACGUUCACCUCUUCACGAUGGUUACAGGACUAUUUUUGCGGCAGCUUCACCUUAAACGGCCAUCAAAUGAUAAAGUAGCAACGAUACGAUGGUAAUUAUCGAGGUAAACGAGCUGGUACGAGCAUAAUUAGUUCCAACACUCGUAGCGAGGUGGCGUGUUGGACGCGUACAAUUAGACAAUUGCUUGGGAUUGGUUAUUGGGAAGAGUGUUCUCGAACGAAGAGAAAAAUGGUAUGGAGAAGAUUGUAAGAUAAGAAAAACGGGCUCGAUCAUUGAAGGCAUUAAAACGGUGGAUCUGUAUAGUUUACGGCAAUGUAAUAACACUUUCGGUAACCGCUAAACAGUUUGCUAUCCGCGGUAAUUAAGUCGUUUCCGGGCAUGGUUUAGAAAAGUGGUUGAACGUGUCUAUUUCACUGGAAGGAAAAACAAGCGUCGAUUCAACCGAAAAAAUCCGAACGAGGUGCAAGUUUGCGCGUAAAUCCGCCAUCUCCUUCCGUACUUGAGAGAAACCGUUACGAAAGUGGGUAAUAGGCGUUGUAAUAGAUAUUAUCUUGCUUGAUAGGUGUCGAUAUCGUGGCGGCGAAAGAUCGAAAUCAUGGUGUCUUCCUUGAGAUCGUACCCAUAUUUCCGGGUUCUUAAGUGGAAUCGAGCGAGCCCUAGUAGUAAUUUGAAUCUUGAAAGGAAGAAUUUGAAUAUCUUAUGGAGAUUUUGUUUUUUCCAUCAUUAUCCACUUGGAUGUUUUCAAAUAAUAAAUUCUAAAAGUUGAAAGAAAGAAGACGGUAUUGAAUGAUUAAUUAUUGAUAGAUAUUAGUUCGAAUUAUAAAGACAGAAACGACGAUGGAAGUUUAUCUGUAGAGGUUAAUUUCGUCUUGAAGAGACGAAUCGCAUAUUGUUUGAGGUUACUUGGUGAUUUAUCCGGAGAUCAAUUUUCCGGGGAUAAAGGAUUAAAAGAUCAUUCUAUUAAAAUUCCCGAUUUCUCACCAAUUAAUCACCGAUUUAUUACAUCACGUCGAUAAAUCAACGUUCACAAAAGCUGUGUUCUGUCCGCUUAUGACUAGUGAUUUUUGGUGAAUAAGAGCAAUACGAAGAUAAGAAGAAUUGAAGAAUGAAGGCAAAAGAUAUCGCGAUCGAGCGUUUAAACGUGUGCCAAAGAAUGACAGAAAGCGUUGCAUCCUUGAGGUGAACGUGCACGAAGGCAAGAUCGAUCAACGUUGUAGUUUUUAACCUGGACUGUACACUCGGGUUGCGCAGGUGUGACCGAUGGCGGCAUUCUUUGAUCCUGCAGGGACUCCACGGCUACCUUGUCCACGACUCAUCGGCCGCCUCUCUUUUUCGUCACUCGGUUCGAUUAUUUCCUAAUGGCUAACGCCAUCGCGAAAACGGCCGUCGCUAAUUUCGCCACUGUUUCCCGCCGCGUUCGGCUUCCUCUGCCAAGCUCGAGGAAUUGAUCGAGAUGGGCAAAAAAAAGGAUUGCGAGUGUGUCGCUGAAAACGAGCGCACGAUCAACUGUUCAAACGACUUUAUCGUUUAAGUACAGGUUGUUUCAAAAUGGGUGACAUGAUUUUAAUCGAUAAUAAGAUAGUAGGAUAUAUAAAUGAUAGUUGUAUUUAAAUUAAGACAUUGCUCAUUUUUUUUGAUUUUUGUAAUUUCCUUUUAGUUCCAUAAUUCAAAAGAAUUAUGACAUUGUAGGUAGAGAGUAAGAGAUAUCUUUUUCGCUCUUUAAUAUAAAGAA